AAAUAAAAAGUAUUUUAAUCAGGCACACAGAGGGCACCUCACAUCUAGGGUCCUACUGAAAGGGCCUUAGAGCGAGGACACCGAAGCGGGAAUAUCAAAGAGCGAUGUUGCCACUGGUAAUAGAAUGGAUUCUAACAAUCAGCUCUACAAAAGACUUGUCAUAGAGGGCUCAGAACAGCUGGAUCCCGACCAGCCCAGGCCUCCAGGUAGUGGACCUGCUCAUGGACCAGCAGACAUGUCCCAGUCACGAGCAGAUGGA